rnacentral:rRNA from 1 species
CGGCGGACGGGUGAGUAACGCGUGGGUAACCUGCCUCAUACAGGGGGAUAACAGUUGGAAACGGCUGCUAAUACCGCAUAAGCGCACAGUACCGCAUGGUACGGUGUGAAAAACUCCGGUGGUAUGAGAUGGACCCGCGUCUGAUUAGGUAGUUGGUGGGGUAACGGCCUACUAAGGCGACGAUCAGUAGCCGACCUGAGAGGGUGACCGGCCACAUUGGGACUGAGACACGGCCCAA